rnacentral:misc_RNA from 1 species
CAAAAAUCAAAUCCAAAUUUCUUAUUUCAAAAUAUUGCAUUCAAACAUACCAUAAGGGAUCAUAUAAAAUGACCAGGGUAAAAUGAAUUAUAUUAUGCUUCCUCCAGAUAACAAACUACAAUAUGAAACUAACAACGAUGGCAGAUUAUCCAACUUACAUAAAAUAGAAAUUAAUGAUUUCAGUCAAUCUAUUAGAAAAUGACUUAUCAAGUUCCUCAUUUUCUCCCUCCAAUUGUUCAUUUGGGCCAGUUACUGAAGGGCCACAAUGGUAAUCACAGGGUUGUUUUUGGAGAAGGUUGGAGAGAAGGAUAUUGGGGUAGGGAACUGGGAUAAGAAGUGGAAUGAUUCUUGUUUACUCGGACAGGCACCCAAGAAAAGAAAAGUGAUCUUUUUUUCUCCUGGGCCCUACCUAACCAAUUAGAUAAUUAUAGCCUUUUCCAGUUACUAUUCUUCCCACCAAAAAUGUAAAAUGCCAUCCCUUCUUUCAAAUAAGAAGUAAAGAAAUAGUUUCCCUUCCUGCUUCCCAUUCUCCUACCAAACAUAGCAUAAAGGUGCUAAAUGAUUUUUAAGCUUUGAUGCCGCAUA